rnacentral:rRNA from 1 species
GGCUCAGAACGAACGCUGGCAGCGUGGAUUAGGCAUGCAAGUCGAACGAGAAUCUUUAGAUUCAAUCUUUCGAGAGAGAAUCUUUAGAAGAGAGUGGCGAAAGGGUGAGUAACGCGUGAGCAAUUUACCUUCAAGUUCGGGAUAACCUGGCGAAAGCCGAGCUAAUACCGGAUGUGGUCUCAUAUCGCAUGGUAUGAUGAUUAAAGGCGGGGAUCCUUCGGGACCUGUCGCUUGAUGAGAAGCUCGCGUCCUAUCAGCUUGUUGGUGAGGUAAUGGCUCACCAAGGCUUACGGGUAGCUGGUCUGAGAGGAUGGUCAGCCACACUGGGACUGAGACACUGCCCAGACUCCUACGGGAGGCUGCAGUCGAGGAUCAUUCGCAAUGCGCGAAAGCGUGACGAUGCGACGCUGCGUGUAGGAUGAAGGCCUUCGGGUCGUAAACUCCUGUCAUAAGGGAACAACAAUUUGAGUGUUAAUAGCACUUGGACCUGAUAGUACCGAAAGAGGAAGCCACGGCUAACUCUGUGCCAGCAGCCGCGGUAAUACAGAGGUGGCGAGCGUUGUUCGGAUUUACUGGGCGUAAAGGGUGCGUAGGUGGUUCUGUGUGUCGGGUGUGAAAUGUCACCGCUCAACGGUGAAACGACACUCGAAACUGCAGAACUAGAGUACAGGAGAGGAAGGCGGAAUUCUUGGUGUAGCGGUGGAAUGCGUUGAUAUCAAGAAGAACACCGGCGGCGAAGGCGGCUCUCUGGAAUGUUACUGACACUGAGGCACGAAAGUUGGGGGAGCGAACAGGAUUAGAUACCCUGGUAGUCCCAACCGUAAACGGUGUGUACUUGGUGUGGGGAGAUUUGACCCUCCCCGUGCCGGAGCUAACGCGUUAAGUACACCGCCUGGGGAGUACGGCCGCAAGGCUAAAACUCAAAGAAAUUGACGGGGGCCCGCACAAGCGGAGGAGCAUGUGGCUUAAUUCGAUGCAACGCGAAGAACCUUACCAGGGCUUGACAUGUAACUGCAUGCCUCUCGAAAGGGAGGCAGCAUUCGAGGGUGUUACACAGGUGCUGCAUGGCUGUCGUCAGUUCGUGCCGUGAGGUGUUGGGUUAAGUCCCGCAACGAACGCAACCCCUGUGUCUAGUUGCUACCGUAGGUGUUAAGCCUACGGGCACUCUAGACAGACUGCCCGUGUAAGCGGGAGGAAGGUGGGGAUGACGUCAAGUCAGUAUGGCCUUUAUGCCCUGGGCUGCACACGUGCUACAAUGGUCGGUACAAUAGGACGCAAUACCGCGAGGUGGAGCCAAUCCCUAGAGCCGGCCUCAGUUCGGAUUGGAGUCUGCAAUUCGACUCCAUGAAGUUGGAUUCGCUAGUAACGGCGUAUCAGCUACGACGCCGUGAAUACGUUCCCGGGCCUUGUACACACCGCCCGUCACAUCAUGAAGCUUUGUGCACUCGAAGUCGCUGUACCAACUUUACUAGAGGAAGGCGCCGAAGUGUGUGGAGUGAUUGGGAUGAAG